rnacentral:rRNA from 1 species
AAGCGGUGGAUGAUGUGGAUUAAUUCGAUGCAACGCGAAAACCUUACCUACCCUUGACAUGUCUGGAACCUUGCUGAGAGGCGAGGGUGCCUUCGGGAGCCAGAACACAGGUGCUGCAUUGGCUGUCGUCAGCUCGUGUCGUGAGAUGUUGGGUUAAGUCCCGCAACGAGCGCAACCCUUGUCAUUAGUUGCUACAUUUAGUUGGGCACUCUAAUGAGACUGCCGGUGACAAACCGGAGGAAGGUGGGGAUGACGUCAAGUCCUCAUGGCCCUUAUAGGUAGGGCUACACACGUCAUACAAUGGAUGGUACAAAGGGUCGCCAACCCGCGAGGGGGAGCCAAUCCCAUAAAACCAUUCGUAGUCCGGAUCGCAGUCUGCAACUCGACUGCGUGAAGUCGGAAUCGCUAGUAAUCGUGGAUCAGAAUGUCACGGUGAAUACGUUCCCGGGUCUU